CAUAGAAAAGAGAGGGGAAAAAAAAAGGAUAAUGAAAGAGUGUCUGAGUUUCCCAUCCUACUAAAGCACAGGGAUAGGCUCGUGUUUGUACUGUCUUCUGCAUGGCUAAGUGGAAAUGAAUGUGGUGAUGUGCUUCACAUGAUCUGAGAAAUCCCUCUCUUUCCAGGGGCUGGAGACAAAAUGUAGUGGGCUGAGAUGUGCCCUGGGAAGCAGCAGGAAUGAGGCAGAGCUGACCUGUCUCCCAGGCAGCCUGGGCAGGGGAAGGGGGACUCUGCACUCCCCAGGGUCACUCUGGGGGGCUUUUUGCCCCUGGGAAAAGGCUGGAACUUGGUGCCGUCUGUGCUGCCAAACGGAGCGUUUGGGAACAGACUUUAUCUGCAGAGAGCUUUCCUCCAGGCACUGCAUGAGUAAUUUACUUAGGAGGAUAUAUUUAGCUAAGGACCACAUAAAUUCACCCUGGAAUUAAAGUCCAUGGUUAAAACUGCAGCUAUUCCAUGGAUUUAUAGCGUUCCACAUGCUGAUGUUCUGCUCUCUGGUCUGUUGGAAGGCAGACAAAAAAGCAUAAAUUGGGGGGAAAAGUUGUUUGCAAUUGCAUAUCUUAUUUCUCUGUUAGUGGAGAGAAUUGGCUGCACUGAGGACAACAAAUUGUUCCUGUUUAUGAAAGCAACUUAAGAUGGUGGGUUUUUGAACAAAUUGAUUCUCAGCUCUUUAAUAUGCAUUGGGUAUAUUCUGAAUACAGUUUGCAAUCCACCAAGUAUUGCACUUGCUACAUGGAUAUUGCUCAGGAACUAGUUCUGUAUUUCCCCAGCAGAUCCUCUGCUGGCAACUAGAGCUUCAAGUGGGACACAACUGCAGUGUUAAUGUCACAGGGACCUAAAACUGUGUGGAAAGAAUGUGGUUAAGGGAAUGAAGUAACAUUUAAACUAUGGGAACAGUUGACUGGGCAGAUAGAAGUGGGCAGCACUGCCUCACUUGGGGCUCUGUGCCAUUGGAAAUGGAAUUUAACAUAAUCAAGGACAGAUUUCUGGGGUUUCAAAGGAUGAUAUUUCCACAAAAAUAUUAUGCUUUUCAUUUCAUUUUUCUAUCCUCUUUCAUAUGUAGUUAGAUUAAUUCUUUUUUAGAAGAACGGUAUCUACUUCUCAUGUCUUAUACCUCCUCUUAGACCACUAAGAUACAGAAUUAAAUCUUAUUUUCCCUACAGCAGGAAGUUUUAGGAUUAUCAGAGAAGUGCACUCACAGUUUGAGCUGAUGUUAACAAACAUAAAAGCCACUGUUCUUGCCCGUUCCAGCGUUAGGAUCUGGACUUCAGGAGUCACAGAGAGUGUCUUGGUUCUGUGGGAAAUGCAAGUUCAACUUUAUUCCCUCUAAUAGGUUAAAAUGGCUCACUAAAUUUGGAAUGCAUGUUUUAAGAUACACAGGUUUCUCGUUCUCCUCCUUGCAGACAUGUGAAUAUAUUCUGUCACACUGUGUACAAAAUACUCUAAUAAGUGGGAGACACUGGGAAGGCUCCUAAGCUGGGAAAUGAGAGAUAAAUAAAUAAGCACUGCUGGUACCAAGGAUCUGAGAAGAACCUUCUCUGCUUCCCCUUCCUAACUGUGUGAAUCCCCAUCUUCCUUUUAGUGUUUUUUAAUUACUUUGAUUUAAACGACCUCAUUGUAAAACAAAUGGGCUGAACCAUUUAUUGAUCAGGAGGUCAAUGGUUUAACUGUGCUGCUGCUGGAGCUGCAGCACUGCAGGACUGAGGGUUCAGCUGCUCCUCUGCUAUUCCAUCACUGUGCACGGAUCCAGGACGUAGGAUGUCCUCAGAAAUGUGCCAGCAAAGUGCUGUUAAGAAAGAUUUGCCCCUUUGAGGAUGUUCCCUCCUGGAAGCAGCCCCUGGGUCCCUCUGACUGUGGGACACUGGCAGUUUGUGUUCCCCUCCCUGGGCUGCUCAUGAGACAAAUAUUGAUGCCUUGGGAGGUGACCACAACUCCUGGGCUUGCUGUACAAGUGCCUUUUGGCCUUCAGGAAUAUCAAAUCCAACCCCUUUCUCUGGCAGCAGAAGGAAAUCUGUUCUUUAAUUUUUGAUCUGCCUGGGGGUCCACGUGUGUUAACCCACCUGCCUCAACACUCAGCCUGUUCCUUCUCCUUGCCAGCACAGUCAGGAGUUCAUUAGUGACAGGAGAAGCUGCUCUGGACAAUUUGUGGCAAUAAUAUACUUGAGAGUUGCUCUUUUUUGCCUCCUCCAGCCCUUCCCUUUGCUUCCUGAGCUGCACAGAUCAGCUGGCAGGACGUUGGUGGAAUAUUCAAGGCUGGGAAGCUGUGUCUCAUUUCUCAGCACAUUUCUUGAUUUCUCCUAAUCAAAUGAGGCUGCCAACUGUUCAUGGAGAGGCCUCUUGGAUUUGUUAUUGCUUGGAACUGGAGCAGGGAGUGACCACUCAUUUAUCUGGGGCUGAGAUCUGUGAUAGUUGUCUUGAUGGAACAGACUUUGGAGUCAAAGCCCAGCCUGUGGGUGCAAAGGUUAUUGGGUUUUUCUCUGUGGUUCUUCAUUGAGCUGCAGUGUUUUGGCUGCUUUGAACACAUGGCUGCUCUCCAUUUUGGUGUUUGGGACAGGAGCUGGAAGUUCUGUGACUUUUCUUCACGUGUGGCUGGGUUAAAGACUCACAUAAAGCUACAGGUUCUCAUGUGGAUUUUGAAAAAAAUCAUUAGAACACCCACUUUCUCCUCCCCACCCCCAAUAUUUUCUUUCCAUUCUCCGAAAUGCAGGAAUAUAAAGAAAGAUUAUUGUCAUUUGGUGAUGUCUCACAGCUCUGACUUUCUGAAAUGUUGUUUUUAAUGUGCUGGCAUGCCUUUACUUCAUUCUUUGCACAAAAAAAAAAAGAAAAAAAAAGAAAAAUUCUUGGAAGAAAAGUGCUGAAGAAUGUGCUGAUUCCAAAACCAUAACCCUAAAUUACCCAUUUCAGAGGGAUGACAUAUCAGAGCUACAGAUUUCUCUUUUCUACUAUAGCCACUUGCAGCUACAAGAAUAAAAGACAACUCAGCAGCUUUCUGCAAGCUGGUGAAGAUUUAUAAGAUAUUUUAUUUGUGUACAAACUCUGGAGUACCAAAUAUCUCUGAAUUAUUCAUUCAUUGUGUCUUCUAAUUGCUCAGAUCUCAGUUUAUACAGCUCUAGUCAACACUGGAACCACCUCUGAGCUUCUUUCUUUUCUGUGUCCUGACAAUAUUUCUUUGUGAUUUAGUUGUUAAUCCUUUAAGAGCACAAGAUUUUUAUUAGACAACCUUUUGAACAGCCCUGUAGACCAGAUCCCAACUGCUGCUGUCGGUGGAAUCAUGUUCCCUACACAAUAGGUGUGAAUCACAGAUGCACAUUUUGUGCCACAAAGAAGUGAAAUCAAGCCAUUGUGCUUUAAUAAGACAAUAAUUACAGCAGAUUUUCUUCAGUCUCUGACAUGCACAGUGAACCAGGUGAAUUACUUGGCUGACAGCCAGCCCUGAACUUGGUGUGCUGCUGGUAAUUUGGAUUCUUGCAGCGCCAUUCCAGGGCAGCUGUGACAUCCUGGCCCCAGUGACACCACAGUGUGCAGGAAAAUCACUCUUGGGAGAGAGCAAAACAGAAGCAAGGAGUGGGAAAACAGAAUAGUUUUUGUAGAUUAGAUGUGGUUUGUUAGCAGGGUUGUGUGGGAAAGCUCCAGGGGAACAGGAGAGCAAGGACUCAGCAGGUUGCUGUACAGUGGUUUGUAGAUGCAUCCUGCAAUUUCCAGGUUGGGAAUUAAUUGUGGAUAACUGUUCCAUGCAUUCACCUCCCUUCUCUCCCUGCUGAACUCUUCAGGAGAGGGUAGAGCCAAUCAAUAAACGAGCACCCCACUGGGUUAUGAGCACACAACAGGGUAGAUCCAUCCACAUGGAAUCCUGAAGGAACAUUCAGGGGCUGGAAUGGAACCAUCCAGACUUGGAGGUGCUGGGAACAGUCACAGCAGUGUCUUCAUGCUUUGGAAUAAAGAAAAGGGUCCUUUCAUAGUCAAGCAAGUCCAAGGCCUCUUUUAUAUUCCUUCUAAAAGAGAGGAACUUCAAAGCAGAGCAUUGUGAGGAAACCUCCCAGAUCCACCUCUACAAGACACCACCACAACCAGUCCCUCCCAGAACUGUGUCCAACAUCAGCCAUGGCUGGAAGUGAAUCCAGUGUAACUAAAUGGAGUGGAAGAGUGCACAGCCAAGGGAUCUCAGGGGAGCAGGGAUGAGGAGGAAUUCAAAGCAUCCAUCUGACGUAUCAAGGGAGCAUUGAAAACUUCCAACCCUUCCCUAGUUGUUCCUUCUUGGAAAUUUUCUUGGGAGAUUUGCUCUGUGGAUUGCUGGGUGCAUCAGCACAGCUCCUGCUUGCCAGAGCUCUUCCUGAGGAGAACUGGUUUCAAUAAAUUACUGGAGCUUUGGAAGGGCUGGAGUUCCAGCCAUGGCAGCUCAGAAGAGGGAGGGGGAAGCAGGAAUACAAGAGCUUUUCCAGCUGGGUAAAGAGCAAAGGUAAUUCUCCAAA